CUCUGAACCAUCUAAUUCUUUUUUAAUUUCUAUCACAAGGCCACAUCACAUUGCAUUGUAGAUUCCUGCUCUCUGAUCAAACUCCUUUUCUGAACUGGAAGCAAUGUGAAAGAGUAAAUAAUCAACCCAUUUAAUGAAGGAGGAAAUUCAGUCUUACCUAACAAAACAUGUACCACACUGAUUGCAAAAUUUAUCUUUGAGAAAAUACAAAUUAUUGCAUACCCCAACUUUACUAAGAUGUUGCUAGAAGCCAGUUUGUCCCAUCUAAACAGGGUAGUUACUGGAUUCUUCCUGGAGAAAAAAUGACCUGAUACAACCAUCUAAGGAGAAAACAGUGAGAAUGUCUUCCCGGCAAAGAAAUUAAUAAGGUGAUAAAUCUGAAUAAUAUUUGGGACAAUAUAAUCCAGUAGUAGGC
rnacentral:lncRNA from 1 species